CCUACGGGGGGCAGCAGCGAGGAAUAUUGGUCAAUGGACGAGAGUCUGAACCAGCCAAGUAGCGUGAAGGAUGACUGCCCUAUGGGUUGUAAACUUCUUUUAUAAAGGAAUAAAACGAGGCACGUGUGCCUUUUUGCAUGUACUUUAUGAAUAAGGAUCGGCUAACUCCGUGCCAGCAGCCGCGGUAAUACGGAGGAUCCGAGCGUUAUCCGGAUUUAUUGGGUUUAAAGGGAGCGUAGAUGGGUUGUUAAGUCAGUUGUGAAAGUUUGCGGCUCAACCAUAAAAUUGCCGUUGAAACUGGAAGACUUGAGUGUGUUUGAGGUAGGCGGAAUGCGUGGUGUAGCGGUGAAAUGCAUAGAUAUCACGCAGAACUCCGAUUGCGAAGGCAGCUUACUAAACUGUGACUGACAUUGAUGCUCGAAAGUGUGGGUAUCAAACAGGAUUAGAUACCCUUGUAGUC
rnacentral:rRNA from 1 species